UGGGGAAUAUUGGACAAUGGGGGAAACCCUGAUCCAGCAAUGUCGCGUGAGUGAAGAAGGCCUUCGGGUUGUAAAACUCUUUCAACAGUGAAGAUAAUGACUGUAACUGUAGAAGAAGCUCCGGCUAACUCCGUGCCAGCAGCCGCGGUAAUACGGAGGGAGCUAGCGUUGUUCGGAAUUACUGGGCGUAAAGAGCGCGUAGGCGGACUAAAAAGUUAGACGUGAAAUCCCUAAGCUCAACUUAGGAACUGCGUUUAAAACUAUUAGUCUUGAAUGCGGGAGAGGGAAGAAGAAUUUUCAGUGUAGAGGUGAAAUUCGUAGAUAUUGGAAAGAAUACCAGUGGCGAAGGCGACUUCCUGGACCGACAUUGACGCUAAGGCGCGAAAGCGUGGGUAGCAAACAGG
rnacentral:rRNA from 1 species